GCCCGCGUGGCGUAAUCGGUGGCGCGUGAGACUCUUAAAUACUUGUAUUUAAAAAACCAUCUCAAGGUUGCGGGUUCGACCCCCGCCGUGGGCU